AGUUCCACAAUGCAUUGUAUCUUGGAGAUGCUAAGAAAAGAGUUGAGAUCUUGGAGAAUGCAGGACAGCUACCUCUAGCAUAUGUGACUGCUGCCACUCAUGGGCUCACUGAAAUUGCUGAUAGGCUUGCUGGUGAGUUAGGUGAAGAUGUGCCUUCUCUACCUGAAGGGAAAACUAGAUCACUUUUAAUCCCUCCAGCACCUCUCACAUCCUGUGGUGAUUGGCCAUUGUUGAGGGUGAUGCGUGGUAUUUUUGAGGGUGGACUAGAUGCUACUGGGAGGGCAGAGCAGGAGGAAGAUUAUGAUGAUGCUGGUGGUGAUUGGGGUGAUGAAGACCUGGAAAUUGUUGAUGCAAGUGCUGUGAUAGAAAAUGGAGAUGCUGGCCAUGCCGAUGAAAGUGAAACAAAUGAAGAGGAUGGGGAAGAGGAAGGUGGCUGGGAC
rnacentral:lncRNA from 1 species